rnacentral:rRNA from 1 species
AGAGUUUGAUCAUGGCUCAGAUUGAACGCUGGCGGCAUGCCUUACACAUGCAAGUCGAACGGUAACGCGGGGCAACCUGGCGACGAGUGGCGAACGGGUGAGUAAUGCAUCGGAACGUGCCCAGUAGUGGGGGAUAGCCCGGCGAAAGCCGGAUUAAUACCGCAUACGACCUGUGGGUGAAAGCGGGGGACCGCAAGGCCUCGCGCUAUUGGAGCGGCCGAUGUCAGAUUAGGUUGUUGGUGGGGUAAAGGCCUACCAAGCCGACGAUCUGUAGCUGGUCUGAGAGGACGACCAGCCACACUGGGACUGAGACACGGCCCAGACUCCUACGGGAGGCAGCAGUGGGGAAUUUUGGACAAUGGGCGCAAGCCUGAUCCAGCCAUGCCGCGUGCGGGAAGAAGGCCUUCGGGUUGUAAACCGCUUUUGUCAGGGAAGAAAUCUUCUGGGCUAACACCCCGGGAGGAUGACGGUACCUGAAGAAUAAGCACCGGCUAACUACGUGCCAGCAGCCGCGGUAAUACGUAGGGUGCGAGCGUUAAUCGGAAUUACUGGGCGUAAAGCGUGCGCAGGCGGUCUUGCAAGACAGAUGUGAAAUCCCCGGGCUUAACCUGGGAACUGCAUUUGUGACUGCAAGGCUGGAGUGCGGCAGAGGGGGAUGGAAUUCCGCGUGUAGCAGUGAAAUGCGUAGAUAUGCGGAGGAACACCGAUGGCGAAGGC